UAAUUAGAUAAUUGUUUUCAUUAAUUUGUUUUUAAAGCAAUAGCCAUUAGUGUUAUAAUCAAUAAUAUCGGACGAAGAUUUUUAAGUUUAAACGUUUCAACAUUUAGUUAUCGCACUAGAUUCUAGUACUAAGUGAACACAAAUGAGUGAAUUAGCGAAUUGUUUCCCUUUGAAAUCUACACGCCAUUAACGGUGUAUACAUGUGUGAAACUGGGUCAGAGAAAACAUGCAGUUAUUGCUCAGAAUAUACGCGCAUAUUUAAAGUGCAUGGCGGAUUUAUUGGUUGUUAUGGUAAGUGUUUAUUUUCAUCAUAAAUUUAUUCGUAACUUAAGUAAAAAAAGAAUGAACAGACCGCUUCUUUUGUUGAUGUAUCGAAGAUACAACUUGGCAGCGAAAAAUGGCCGUGUUGGCAUUUCGAUUUGACUGUCUGCUGUCAAGUACUUUUAAUAGUUUUUCUGUAUAUUUGUAAAUUUUCAUGAUGGCAGAAUAUACUUGUAGCCAAGACAGGCAGGCAUCUACUAUAGUAAGUACAUUCUGUACGAAAUUUUCGGACAUUCCUUUUGGCUAUCCGCUACCGUAUACAUUUUUGGCUAUCAAGAAAUUGUAAAUAAACAGGAAUAUUGUAGAUUCUACAUUUUUUUAACUGUCACAGAUGUGAACUGGUGAAUAAUUACAUGGUCAUUAUGCACAUACAAUAGAAUCUAUGACAAUUGGAAAAGAAAAGUACAAUAACACAGGGACAGUGGUGUUUUAAAUUGUCACUUUUUGUUGUAAUAGCAACUAAAAUAGACCUCCUGAAAAAUUCUAAAAAAUUCUACAUGCAAUUCACCAUAAAAACUCCUUUUUACAUUCUCACUACUGUCAGUACUGGCAGACAGCAUACUGGUAGGCUACUAAAUAAAUGAAAAAAAUCUUGCUUUAUAUUUUUCAGGACAACCUCCAGCAAUAUGAGAUAUAAAUGUUCACUGCAGUUUUGACUAUGCUGAACAAGUACUAUACACAUACUAUGCUCAGCAAGUGGAGUUGCUGUCAGUUCUCAUGCAGGCUCUCAGAUUUUCUACCUAGUGUAUGAAAAGAACAGUACUGCUGUUGGAAGAGGAGAAGUGUGGUAUUUAUGGUCCACCAUCACUUCAAGCAUUAUGGCUAUGGAUAAAAGAAGGUUUCAUUACAUAUAUAUGGACAAUUAUACUCCAGACAAAAUAAGAAGUGUUCUAAUAAGUUCUGGAAUGUGGCGUGUUAUGAUGGGUCUACCUGAUUGACUUAGAGUACAACCUGAUGGGGACUGGGCUUGCAGAAUUCAGUCCUGAACAUGUUUAGAAUGUCUUCUGCAUGACCUAGUAUAGUAUUCUUGAAGGAUUAUAACUUCAACACAGAGACAGAGAUUAAUAUUUUAGGCAGAGGAUUGGCAUGACAGGCAAAUUCUCCAACUGUAUAACCAUUCCUGAGCUGGAUGCCAGUCGACAGUGGUACCAGUAUAAUGAAAUAGCGCCCCUUUGCAGCAACAGCAAUGUAUGCUCAAAACUAGCAGUGCCAAAGCCAUUUAAAUUGAGAAUUCAGUCAUUUAAAACGAAGAAUGAAUGGAAAAAAGUGUUUAACAUUUAAAGUUAUACAGAGAAAGAGCUUAGCUUAUUUGGUAUUUUCUGAAAUUUUAAUUAAUUUGAAAGUGUUUUUGAUUUUUUAAAGGUGUACUAGACCCAAAUUCCAUAUAUAUGAAUAUGAACAAAUG